CCAUUUUAAUAAGACGACAAUGCACAAAAACAAAAACUCGUAGUUCCGUGCUGUUCCUCAACGAUUUGUGACGAGCAACUUACGAGGUUUUGCCGCGGAGCCGACGAAUUAAUAUCAUUAUUGAGACACAGUACAAAAUAUAUCGUUGAUUUCUUAUCAAUGAUAAUGUCAUGGCGAAAAACAACGACGACGUUGUCGCGGUGCAAAUUGUCUCACAGCGGUCAACCACGGCGUGCACGACGGUUCGGCAACGUUUUUCGUAACGACACUGUCGAACGGCUUUAAACGGCGAAACUCGAACCGUUUUGCGAGGGAGGGAAUCGAGAGGGAUACGGUCGUAAUACCGAGAGACAAAAUUGUAACCACGCAAAAGGAGAAUUUGGGCUGCGAGAUGUCGUUUUCGUUUUUUCAAUAUCGAAACUACGAACAAAAAUUAUUCGAGUUUGAAACACCUAAAAACAACGGAUUUUGAGACGAGAACUUUUUUCGUGUGUUGCUGAGAAGACAUUUUAAAAAUUGAUGAUGGCGAAGAUACGUUGCUUAUUUCAACCCCCUCAAGAUAAUUCAAAUAAUUCAAAUAAUUCAAAUAAUUUUAGUUGUAAAAUGUGCAUCUGUCUCAAAAAGAACUACACCCAAGUACACUAAAUCAAUCUGUUGUUAUUGUUGCUGCAUGGUUGGAUAAUACAUCUUUGUUUCAAGGUUUAGCUUCUAUUGCUCAAACAACUACAUCAACUGUGACAUUAAUGACUACCACUAAUUUAAUUUUAGAAAUGUGUUCUUACGAUGAUAUCAACGACUUCUGUACAUUCUAAUAUCAAUCGUUCACUAUGCUGCUGGACAUUACUUGAGGUAUGUAAGAAGAUUGAAGAAACAAUCACAACUGGGAACUGCACCAUGAUCUACUUCCAAAAAUUGAAAAGAAUGAGAAAUAAUGAAUCUGUAAACAAUUUAAACCUGCAUCUUUAAAUGUACAUAUAAAUUUAAUUUGUUACAUUUUUAUUUUAAAAACUUAAUAUAAAAGGAUAAUUUUUUUUUAAUGAUUUUAUUUCUUUUAGAGCUAGUUUGAUAUGCUUAGGGCGACAUAUCCAUUUAUUUGUUGUCAUGUAAAUUAAAAGAUUUGCAUGUUCAAUAACUUAAUGCUAAUUGUGUGCUAAAUAUGAAUGAAAUUUCAUUUAAUUUUUUGGUGGCAAUAAUCACUAAUCGGAUAGCCUUUCAGAGUUUAUAUUAUGACAAAUUCGGAUAACUAUGUUAAGUUAGCCUUCCAAAAAGAAAAUUAAAUUUUUUUUAAGGGUACAAAUUGUUUGAUGUUAGUUAAAAAAGUAUGUAAAGAUAGUUUAGUAUUUUGACACUAGUUUGAAGUAUAACAUUGUAUAAGUGUAUACCAUGAAUUAAGAUAUACUGGAUACGGAACGGAGCAGGUUAUCAGUCUAUAAAAUGAAACUUAAAAGUGCUAAGACAAUCAGCUGCUGUGUCAAGAAUACUAGCGCUCUCUAGUUAUAUUAUAUUAUAUUCCCGCACUUUUUUUGAAAAUAUAUUAUAAAUAUUAUUGUAUUUGAUUUGUGUAUUU